GACGAACGCUGGCGGCGUGCUUAACACAUGCAAGUCGAACGGAAAGGCCUGCUUUCCCUUGUGGAUUGCGGGUACUCGAGUGGCGAACGGGUGAGUAACACGUGAGUGAUCUGCCCCCAACUUGGGUAUAAGCCUGGGAAACUGGGUCUAAUUCCCGAUAGGACUGCAGGGUGGUGCCUGUGGUGGAAAACGAUUUUCUAGUGGUUGGGGAUGAGCUCGCGGCCUAUCAGCUUGUUGGUGGGGUAAUGGCCUACCAAGGCGGCGACGGGUAGCCUGCCUGAGAGGGUGGACGGCCACAUUGGGACUGAGAUACGGCCCAGACUCCUACGGGAGGCAGCAGUGGGGAAUAUUGCACAAUGGGCGGAAGCCUGAUGCAGCGACGCCGCGUGGGGGAUGACGGCCUUCGGGUUGUAAACUCCUUUCGACCGCGAGGAAGCCACCUGGUUGGAAGGGUGGUGACGGUAGUGGUAGAAGAAGCACCGGCUAACUACGUG
rnacentral:rRNA from 1 species